GAUGAAGAACGUAGCGAAAUGCGAUAAGUAAUGCGAAUUGCAGAAUUUCCGUGAGUCAUCGAAUCUUUGAACGCACAUUGCGCCCACUGGUAUUCCGGUGGGCAUGCCUGUUCGAGCGUCAUUGCUGCCCUCAAGCACGGCUUGUGUGUUGGGCCUCCGUCCUCCUCCCGGGGGACGGGCCCGAAAGGCAGCGGCGGCACCGCGUCCGGUCCUCGAGCGUAUGGGGCUUCGUCACCCGCUCUUGUAGGCCCGGCCGGCGCUUGCCGACACAUCAAUCUUUUUUCCAGGUUGACCUCGGAUCAGGUAGGGAUACCCGCUGAACUUAAGCAUAUCAAUAAGCGGAGGA
rnacentral:misc_RNA from 1 species